AAUAUCUCAUUAAAGAAUUAGUUAAAUUUAUAACAUAAAUAUGUCAAAUUUAAAUUAUUACAUUUAGUAAUAUUCUUUU
rnacentral:tRNA from 1 species